CGUCUCCAGGAGAGUCGCCGCGAAUUUCCCCGGGCCCGCCUCGGCGCAACAGAUGAUCGAAGUAGAUUGGCGACUUUUACUGAGAAUUCAAGUCCCGGGCCAUCUGAUGCUUUGCAUGCAACCUUCCCUUUGGACCGAAGUUGGAUCAAAAGUGUGACGGCGGCGCGGGCAACUUAGCAGCCAGUCAAGAACUGCCUUCUGUCAUCAGACUCUCAGAAAUAUCCUUUGUAGUGCUGACCACUACUGCCACCUAUAGGACUGGAGGGAAGUCAUCUUCAUUGAGCCUUUUCCUCAAGAAUCUAAAACCUUCGGGGAAUCCCAAAUUAUGUGUGGAAUUGCCAAAGUACGGCAAACUGACCAAAACAAAUCAGAAGAAUUAUUUGCGAGAUGGGGGAAAACAUCAUUUGAAAGGAGGCGGCCAUUUUGUUGACACCUGCUGUCCACUGAUAUUGACAUCACAAUGCCCACAGUGUCGUCUUCCGGACAUCGAGUGACCAAACCCAGAAAACAGCUCUUUGGUACAUUCCUCCUCCUCACAAAAAACACACCACCCAGAGAUGGCAGCCCUGCAGCCUUCCAGGAAACCAACGCAUGAUCGCACCCGAGCUCUCUUCUUAGGCAAACACUGGGCCUGAACCACAACAGCUUCUGAAAAAGGCAAGUCGGCCAGCGCCAGAGAACGUGUUGAAUGCGUGUGUGUACGUGACAUCUGUUGGUGUGUGUGUGCCAGCGCAUGCAGCCCACAGGGGCUCAAAGGGCAGAGUUGGGCAGCCACGCUCGGCGUUUUGCGGUCCCUCCGUCAGCACAUCACAGCUUCGCGGCCUUUAAACAGGCCACAAAUCAUCAGAGGGACCACACCGAUGCGAUGGAAACCCUCCGACCCUGACAAGUUAUGUGCGAAUUGGGAAACACGAACAAACUGUUACAUUUGGAAUCGACAGCGACGUUGCUACAUAAACAAGCUUCUGUACACUUUUAACCGGAUUGCAAAAAACCGGGCUCGGGGAAGGAAAAAAAAAAAAAAUGAAAUUAGCUAUGUAUUUCUUAAUCCAAGCAAAAUUAUCGGUGAGCCGAAACGGAGCCACAUCACAGAAGCGCCGCAGUGGGAGUGUUGAUGUGCUCUCGGAUGGGUUCCGGGUGAGCGGCCGUGGUUUCACGGGUGCUGCGUGCAAGUGAAUACACACUGACAGAUGUCUCGCACACUUUGGGAUUAUUGCAAAAGAAUGUAAAAGGGGAUGACUGCGGCUGUGACUGUGACUCACACGCUCCAGAUUACAAAGGAGCCAACACGCAUGCAAACACAUGCUGGACCAAAGGUUGGAUACGUUUGCACCGCUUUAAGUCGUGGACGUGCCCAUUGAGAAUGUCGACUCCACCGAAACAAAACACUCCUCUGUUUCUUCUGAUCAUGUCUUUCCUUUCACCCCGACUUGUCUUUCUUCUCCACCUCAACACCCCCCACCUGGUUCAUUGCAUCAAAGUGGCCAUGGCAACACUCCAAAACGGUGGAUGAGUCAACAAUGAGCUGUUUGCUUUCCACCCUCUCUGGCGAGCAGAGGUUGUGGCCAUGAGGGAGCUGGAUGAGAUAGUAGAGGAGGGGAGUCACUUAUCUUUUCCUAUCAAAUUCAGACUGCACGAACAACUGGGCAACGCUUCAAAUUUGUUUGGGUCAUUUGGAAGCAAACAGCAGCCAGGUUGAGGGGUAAGAUUAUUUUUGCUCUAAUGCAUUUUGUCUGUCUUCAUGGCUCAACUGAUUUUUGCUCAGGGAAAAUACUCCCAAUGCUUCAUUUUUUUUUUUCCCCCCAGAAGUUAUUGCAAGGAAUCUGACACAACUUGCUGCCUUGGCAACAGAGCUCAAAUAUAAUCAACGACGUGCAGUACGGGUGUCGGAACACUCCCAAAUACUCACACACACAAACACAGCAUGCGGCUAAAACUAUUAUUAGGCUGUGUAUAGUCGCUUGUGUAAAAACAGCAUCAUUUACAGUUGCCCGUCAUCUGCCAAGUGCGAGGACACGGCCUGAACCGUGAAAAAAAAAAAAAGGAAGCCAUGUGACGUAUGGAUCGCCAGAUGUAGGAAAAUGGAAAUCAUCUCACUGUGGGGACCAGCAAACUUUUGAAGCGUCAGUCCAACACUAGCAAUAACAAACCGAAAGUGCAAAUGUGUCAGAUUUUUGUCAUUGAUCUUAAACUUAACUUCAAACUUUGGUCGGACCUCACUUCUCAACAGCCUAUAAAUCUACACUCGUAUGCGUGUUGAGAGAGCAAUGAAGGCAAUUACCGCUGCGAUUUCCACAUAAGUGAGUCGUCCGAUUUGUCAGCUCGGUUUGGAGAAGGCAUUGAGAAAAAUGGACUUGCGCUCAAAGAAAAUGUUGUUACUCAAACGUACAUUGAGCGAAACCCGACGCCUAAA